rnacentral:rRNA from 1 species
AGCGAACGCAGGCGGCAGGCCUAACACAUGCAAGUCGAACGAAGUCUUCGGACUUAGUGGCGGACGAGUGAGUAACACGUGGGAACGUGCCUUUAGGUUCGGAAUAACUCAGGGAAACUUGUGCUAAUAACGAAUGUGCCCUUCGGGGGAAAGAUUCAUCGCCUUUAGAGCGGCCCGCGUCUGAUUAGCUAGUUGGUGAGGUAAAGGCUCACCAAGGCUACGAUCAGUAGCUGGUCUGAGAGGAUGACCAGCCACAUUGGGACUGAGACACGGCCCAAACUCCUACGGGAGGCAGCAGUGGGGAAUCUUGCGCAAUGGGCGAAAGCCUGACGCAGCCAUGCCGCGUGGAUGAUGAAGGUCUUAGGAUUGUAAAAUCCUCUCACCGGUGAAGAUAAUGACUGUAGCCGGAGAAGAAGCCCCGGCUAACUUCGUGCCAGCCGCCGCAGUAAGAC